AACGAACGCUGGCGGCAUGCCUAACACAUGCAAGUCGAACUAGACCUUCGGGUCUAGUGGCGCACGGGUGCGUAACGCGUGGGAACCUGCCCUUAGGUUCGGAAUAACUCCCCGAAAGGGGUGCUAAUACCGGAUAAUGUCUUCGGACCAAAGAUUUAUCGCCUUUGGAUGGGCCCGCGUUGGAUUAGCUAGUUGGUAGGGUAAAAGCCUACCAAGGCGACGAUCCAUAGCUGGUCUGAGAUGAUGAUCAGCCACACUGGGACUGAGACACGGCCCAGACUCCUACGGGAGGCAGCAGUGGGGAAUAUUGGACAAUGGGCGAAAGCCUGAUCCAGCAAUGCCGCGUGAGUGAUGAAGGCCUUAGGGUUGUAAAGCUCUUUUACCCGGGAUGAUAAUGACAGUACCGGGAGAAUAAGCUCCGGCUAACUCCGUG
rnacentral:rRNA from 1 species